rnacentral:tRNA from 1 species
GGAUAUGGCUCAGCGGUAGAGCGCUUGCCUAGCAUGUGCGAGGGCUUGGGUUCUAUCCUCAGCACCA